CGAGCCCAGAUUCACUCCAGGGAACCUGCUCCGUGUGGAAGACGUCAGGCAGCUGUGGUCCUCCCAGCCAUGGAUACCGCAGAAACAGAAUCCAACUGUCUACAUGAGCAUCCCCAAUUCAUCUUGUACACCAAAGAAGACGCAUUCAACUUAAAACUGGAAGUCACUGCCUUUGCCACACUGUAAAAUCUCUUCUGCCUAAGGUACAAGAUGACAUCGCCCUCAAAGAAUGAGAGCUUUGUGUUUUGUCUACUAAUUAAUCUCCUAUGGCUCUUUCUUCAGUUUGGGCCAGGACUUCCAGUUUUAUAGUAAGGGUUUGCAUUAAUAAUAUACAUUUUUGUGUUGUUCACAAACGUAAAGAGAAUGAAGUCAAAG